CAUACCACCUAGAUGUCUGUCCGGGAAGUCCCGCAGCGGCAGGGACGCUUUCUGCUCAUGUUGUCGCUGGACCAUGGACGCCGCCGUCCUGCUGCUGCUCUGCCGUGGAUGACGACCAUCGCUUCCCCGGGUAGGACUGGCGUCGUGAUUGAGUAGGGCGUUGAGAUCCACAUUUAAAUUGUUUGCAUAUGGUCAUCGCAAGUGUCCACGUAGUUGGAGCUAUGGCUGUGCCGACUGACCCUACGCCUGCCAUUCCUGCUGCGACUAUAGUUCUACACUACCAGAGGGCCAUGAACUCUUGGAGAAGGUCUUCUGGAGGUGUGGUGGCAAGGGGGAGCCGCUGCAUGGCAACAAGCUCACUGUACUGGAAGCUGAGGAACGGCCCAUUCGACAGCAGGCGGUGUUGUUUGACCACGCACAAUUGG